AUACUCUUUCCCGCCGUUCUCCUACAUCCCUUUUCCCUCUCUGCCCCUGCGAACGGGGCGCCACCACCUACCAGUUAUCUCCCUCCGCUGCGCAGCCCCUCUGUUAGACCGUCGUUGCCGCCCUACUCCAGGUGGGUAGGUCUUCUUCAGGCCCUUCGCCGGCGACAAACACCACCAGGGGACCUCGCCGGCGCAGGGGAGGGGGCACCGUCGCCAGGAGCAAAGAGCCAGCAGCCGGGAACCAGAGCCGCCGCCACUUCUAGAGCUCAAUCGAUCAGCGACUCAGAUUUUCAUCUGAGGAUGGGUAGGGACUAUGACCCUAUGGAGAUUGACGACCAGAAGCAGCAACAGCUAGAAGUCACCGCUGCGGUGCCAGAAGGGUUCAACACUGACUAUCUCCGUGUCUACUACGGAAAGCUCUUCCCAUAUGGUGAUUUCUUCAAAUGGCUUUGCUAUGGAAAUGAUGGAAAGCACCCUGGAUGUGAUCAAUCAUAUGUUGGACGUCGAGAGUUUUCGUUUACACUGGAGAAUGACAUUUACUUGCGCUUCCAAUCCUUUGAUACUGCUACUGAAUUAGAGAGUUCUAUCAAGGAGAAGUGCCCUUUCAAGAUUGAUAUUGGACCUGUCUACAGCGUAGAUCCUUCAAAGCGUCACGCUUACGCCCAAUCUGGCAAUAAUGUCUUUGUACCAGUCGAGAGGGAACUAAUUUUUGACAUUGAUAUAUCUGAUUAUGAUGAUGUUCGCUACUGCUGCUCUGGAGCUGAUGUCUGCAGAGACUGCUGGCCCUUGAUGACAAUUGCUAUCAAAAUUUUGGAUACUUCUCUUAGAGAUGAUUUUGGUUUCAGUCACAUACUAUGGGUAUACAGUGGACGUCGUGGUGUCCAUUGCUGGGUCUGUGAUAGCAGAGCAAGAAAGCUCAGCAAUGAACAAAGGGCUGCAAUUGCUGACUACUUUCGAGUCUACAAGGGUGGUGAAAAUGCACUGAAGAAAGUAUCCUUGGCUGGACCUGUUCUCCAUCCCUUCCUUGCCCGGUCAUACAUGGAUGUUCUUAAAACCUUCUUUGAAGAUAGGUUGCUCCUUAACCAACAACUCUUUGCAUCAGAGGAGAGAUGUCGGAAGAUACUCGAUCUCAUCCCUGAUGAAAGUGUUGCUAGUGAGGUCCAUGACAAGUGGCAGGGAAAUAGACGAUCUUCUAUUUCAAAAGAAGAUGUCAAUGCGACCAGAUGGGAGCAAUUGAAGAUGACUUUACAGUCUGGAAAAAAGGCUCAGGGGCUUCGUAGAUGUGUGGAAGAGAUUGUCUUCUCAUACACAUACCCUAGACUUGACAUGGAGGUAUCAAAGCACAUGAAUCAUUUACUAAAAGCUCCCUUUUGUAUACAUCCAAAGACAGGCCGUGUUUGUGUUCCGAUUGACCCCAGUAACUGUGAUGAUUUUGAUCCUGCGGCUGUUCCGACUCUAUCACAGCUUUUAGGAGAGCUGAAUGCUACUGGUUUUCAGACAGAUCCUGAAAAUAAAGUAAAGGCGUUCUAGUGCCAAGAUGCAGCCUUGCGUAACAGGCUAACAUGCUCUCCUUUUGACAAUCCUAUCGAGUUUCAGAUUGGGAAAGAACGUCCCUUGGGAAAUCCAUCAGUUUUUUCAGAACUUCCUUCCUGCACCCAUUGCUGAAAGCAUGCAAGGAGGAACUGGAAAGUGCAUAUAGCGCGAAGCUUCAGCAGUCCAAGAAUUCCUUGGACUGGUAAAAUCUACGCAUGUUUCUGCCUCUGUUUUAUCAUCAGCCCCCGUUCGGCCCUCCCUGAGCAUCCAACGGGUAACAUGGACCUGGUGCUAGGUGGAAUAUCUAUGACGCUGCCAACCCGUGUUGCAUGCCUGGGAUGCAUGCAACCAUGUCAGUUUGAAGUUGCGUCUUAGGAUUCAUGUUAACAUGGAACAAGUCCGAGUACAUGCUUUGUGGUAUUUUUACCUUUGGAUUAGUUUAUUAGGUUGAAGGGUUAUAAUGACGGUCAAACACUCGAAAAUGGAUGCAUGGAGAUCUGCCUCGGUCAUUUCAUGCAAGUUCGUUGCUCAGCAGAUAACUGGGGCUGCUUGGUUC